AUGACUAGGGAUAACCUUAGGAAGAGACACAUCAUCAAACCCCUUGAUUGUGUUUACUGCUUGGAACAAGGGUCUUGUUCUCACCUAUUUUUUGAAUGUAUACUUGCUAAACAUCUCUGGGCCCACAUUGAGGAAUGUUUCUCUAGUCAGAUUGGCUCAUCCUUCGAAUCUAUCGCCAGAUUCUGGAUUGCUACCAAAAAGUGCUCAGUUUUAAACACUGUUAGCUCAGCUGUCCUUUGGUGCCUCUGGAAAUAUAGAAAUGCUAUGAUUUUCAGUAACACCUCCUGGAUUUCCAUUCCACAGGUCUUGAGGUUGAUCAGGAACAUGGUGAGGAACUGGGCGAUUCUCUCCUCCGGAUCGGACAAGGACAAGUUGAUGAGCUUCAUGGAAACCCUAACAAGAUAACUCCAGAAACCGUUGGCGAUCACUUGUGGCUGA
rnacentral:rRNA from 1 species